AUUUGUCUUUUAAUUUCUCUCUCUCUCUCUCUCUCUCUCUCUUUCUCUCUCUAGCCCCAACCAUAAAUACAGAGAGGUCUUCGCUCCGAUUUCCACUCGGCAAUAAUCGACACUUGCACAUUCAUUACACACAAAACACGCACACAGUAUGUCAGCAUGUUGUCGCCGUAUGGCCUUCGCCGCGGCACCGCCGCCGAGCCACCACAUUCCGCAGCGGCUCUCGUCGUCCGUCAACUAUUUGCACGCAAAUCAUCCCCAAUUUUGGGAAAGGAGCGGUGCCGGAGCGGUUGUGCUACGGUCCAGACGAUGGGUGAGCGAGGCGGCGGUGCGCCCCCUCGAAGGGGAGCAGGAGGGUGAGGCGAAGCAGAGCAGCCAUCCGCCUCGGUGCUGUUCAUUUGAUCUAGACGCGGUGGCGGCGGCGGACGCGAGGAGCGGUGAAGGCGGAGUUGAUCGGAGGGUGGAGGUGGUGAUUGCAGCGGCGACGACGGUGGUGCUUGGGGUAGGGAAUCGAGUUCUGUACAAGCUCGCAUUAGUCCCUCUCAAACAUUACCCUUUCUUCCUUGCUCAGCUCGCCACUUUUGGGUAUGUGAUUGUGUACUUCUCUAUUUUGUAUCUCCGGUAUCAAUCUGGAAAGGUUACCGAUGAAAUGCUAUCGUUGCCGAAAUCACCAUUAAUUGCUGUUGGCCUCUUAGAGGCUCUUGCUGCUGCCUCCGGGAUGGCAGCUGGAGCUAUUCUGUCUGGGGCAGCGAUUCCUAUACUGUCUCAGAGCUUUCUUGUUUGGCAACUUAUCCUUUCAUAUACAUUCCUUGGGAGGAGAUAUCGCUACAACCAGUUAUUCGGCUGCUUUCUGGUGGCAGUUGGUGUUAUAGUAACCGUCGCAAGUGGAUCAGGUACUGGUUCUCUGAUGGAAGCUGGCAUCUUUUGGAGUAUUUUGAUGAUUAUUUCUUUCUUCUUACAAGCUGCUGAUACAGUCCUGAAGGAAACAAUAUUUUUGGAUGCUGCUCAAAGAUUAAAGGUAGGGAGGUACAGUAGAUCUAUUUGUUAUAAACUCCUACGGAUCUGCUUACCAGGCGGUUUUUAUUUGCCUCCUCCUUCCGUUCUUGUCAAACCUGUGGGGCAUUCCAUUUAGCCAACUGCCGAAUUAUCUUAAAGAUGGCGCAGCAUGCUUUUUGAAUGUCGGUACCAUGUCAAACAGAUGUAACGGUGCACCUUUAUUGCCGCUGCUGUUUGUCAUAGUCAACAUGGGUUUCAAUAUAUCGUUAUUGCAUUUGCUCAAGAUCUCUUCGGCUGUGGUAUCUUGUCUUGCAUCAACACUUUCAGUUCCGAUAUCUGUAUAUAUGUUCACAUUGCCGCUGCCAUAUCUCGGAAUCGCAUCCUCCCUUCCCCCUGGCUUUGUAGGAGGCGGCAUCAUCCUUAUUGUGGGCAUGUUGAUAUACAUUUGGACACCUUCAUCGAAUUCCUCAAGUAAACCCUCUCUAGCAAGUUAGCCGAUAAAAAGAAAUGAUGCCCUUUUGGGAAUUCUUAUGCUCGGUGAAACCAAAGACAAAAAAAAAAUCGAAGAGAAGUGGGUUGUGGAAGAACAAUUGGUGGUAUAUAAACCAAAAAAAAGAGCGCAUCGUGUUCCUACCUUCGCUACAGUUGACUCCAAAUCUCGAUGCUGCUAAUUGCAGACGGUGAUUUUCAUGCCAAUCGACGGAGAAAGAAAAAGAACUUGUUUGUGUAGUAGAGUGUGAGCUUAACUGAGUGUUUGAAGUGACUUUCAUUGUACAACAACUAAAAUUCCAAAUAUUUAUACAAGUCAAUUUUGUUU